ACGGGGGGAACGCGAAGAACCUUACCUACUCUUGACAUCCAGAGAAUUCGCUAGAGAUAGCUUAGUGCCUUCGGGAACUCUGAGACAGGUGCUGCAUGGCUGUCGUCAGCUCGUGUUGUGAAAUGUUGGGUUAAGUCCCGCAACGAGCGCAACCCUUAUCCUUUGUUGCCAGCACGUAAUGGUGGGAACUCAAAGGAGACUGCCGGUGAUAAACCGGAGGAAGGUGGGGAUGACGUCAAGUCAUCAUGGCCCUUACGAGUAGGGCUACACACGUGCUACAAUGGCGUAUACAAAGAGAAGCGAACUCGCGAGAGCAAGCGGACCUCAUAAAGUACGUCGUAGUCCGGAUCGGAGUCUGCAACUCGACUCCGUGAAGUCGGAAUCGCUAGUAAU
rnacentral:rRNA from 1 species